GGGCCCGCACAAGCGGUGGAGUAUGUGGUUUAAUUCGAUGCAACGCGAAGAACCUUACCAGGGUUUGACAUCCUGCGAACCUCUUAGAAAUUUUGAGGGUGCCUUCGGGAAUGCAGUGACAGGUGGUGCAUGGCUGUCGUCAGCUCGUGUCGUGAGAUGUUGGUUAAGUCCCGCAACGAGCGCAACCCACGUCUUUAGUUGCCAGCAUUUAGUUGGGCACUCUAGAGAGACUGCCGGUGAUAAACCGGAGGAAGGUGUGGAUGACGUCAAGUCAUCAUGCCCCUUACAUCCUGGGCUACACACGUACUACAAUGGUAUCUACAACAGGAAGCAAGACUGCGAGGUC
rnacentral:rRNA from 1 species